GUGGGAGCUGGUUUGCCUGCGAUGGCAUUUUUGCUGCCAGCCCAUCAACAGCUGGCCCACCGCUAUCGCAGGCAAGCCAGCUCCCAC
rnacentral:antisense_RNA from 1 species